CUAUAAUGAUGUUUAGCCAUGCUAAUACCGAGAAAUCAUGAAUUUUACAUAUAGAUUUCGCUGAGUUAACCUGUAACAACUGAAUCCUUUAUUACGUAAAAUAGU